UGGGGAAUAUUGGGCAAUGGGCGAAAGCCUGACCCAGCAACGCCGCGUGAAGGAAGAAGGUUUUCGGAUUGUAAACUUCUGUCCUCAGGGAAGAAACAAAUGACGGUACCUGAGGAGGAAGCCCCGGCUAACUACGUGCCAGCAGCCGCGGUACUACGUAGGGGGCGAGCGUUGUCCGGAAUGACUGGGCGUAAAGGGCGCGUAGACGGCGGUGUAAGUCUGGAGUGAAAGUCCUGCUUUCAAGGUGGGAAUUGCUUUGGAGACUGGAUGGCUUGAGUGCGGAAGAGGUAAGUGGAAUUCCCAGUGUAGCGGUGAAAUGCGUAGAGAUUGGGAAGAACACCAGUGGCGAAGGCGACUUACUGGGCCGUAACUGACGUUGAUGCGCGAAAGCGUGGGGAGCGAACA
rnacentral:rRNA from 1 species